GGCGUUAGGAUUUAAAUCACUGUCCAAAACGUUUGUAGGAACUAUUUUCCAAGCUUUUGGAGUUAGUUAGACCAAAAAGAAAUGAAAAAUGAAAAAAAAAUAUUUGUGGUGUUCGGGCUUCCUGAAGAUAAUACACGGGUAUUAGAUUUUGGGGCUAGGGAAAGGUUUAAGGUUUUUGGCGUUAGGGUUAAAAUCACUGUCCAAAACCUUUGUAGGAACUCUUUUCCAACCAUUUGGAGUUAGUUAGACCAAAGAAAAAUGAAAAAUGAAAAAAAAAUAUUUUGCUUGUUUUGGCUUCCUGAACAUAAUGCACGGGUAUUAGGUUUUGGGGCUAGGGUAAGGUUUAAGGUUUUUGGCGUUAGGGUUAAAAUCACUGUCCAAAACCUUUGUAGGAACUAUUUUCCAAGCUUUGGGAGUUAGUUAGACCAAAAAGAAAUGAAAAAUGAAAAAAAAAUAUUUGGGGUUUCGGGCUUCCUGAAGGUAAUACCCGGGUAUUAGGUUUUGGGGCUAGGGGAAGGUUUAAGGUUUUUGGCGUUAGGGUUAAAAUGACUGUCCAAAACCUAUUUAGGAACAUGUUUCAGACCUUUUGGAGUUGGUUACACCAAAUGAAAAAAAAAAAAUUGAAAAAAAAUAUUUGGGGUGUUCAGGCUUCCUGAAGGUAAUACCCAGGUAUAAGUUUUGGGGCGAUGGUAAGGUUUAAGGUUUUUGGCGUUAGGGUUAAAAUCACUGUCCAAAACCUUUGUAGGAACUCUUUUCCAACCUUUUGGAGUUAGUUAGACCAAAUAAAAAUGAAAAAUGAAAAAAAAAAUAUUUGGGGUGUUUGGGCUUCCUGAAGAUAAUGCACAGGUAUUAAGAGUUGGGGCUAGGGUAAGGUUUAAGGUUUUGGCGUUAGGGUUUAAAUCACUGUCCAAAACCUUUGUAGGAACUGUUUUCCAACCUUUGGGAGUUAGUUAGACCAAAUAAAAAUGAAAAAUGAAAAAAAAAUAUUUGGGGUGUUUGGGCUUCCUGAAGGUAAUACACGGGUAUUAGGUUUUGGGGCUAGGGAAAGGUUUAAGGUUUUUGGCGUUAGGGUUAAAAUCACUGUCCAAAACCUUUGUAGGGAAGUCUUUUCCAACCAUUUGGAGUUAGUUAGACCAAAUAAAAAUGAAAAAUGAAAAAAAGAUAUUUGGCUUGUUUGGGCUUCCUGAAGAUAUUGCACGGGUAUUAGGUUUUGGGGCUAGGGUAAGGUUUAAGGUUUUUGACGUUAGGGUUAAAAUCACUGUCCAAAAACUUUGUAGGAACUAUUUUCCAAGCUUUGGGAGUUAGUUAGACCAAAAAGAAAUGAAAAAUGAAAAAAAAAUAUUUGGGGUUUUCGGGCUUCCUGAAGGUAAUACCCGUGUAUUAGGUUUUGGGGCUAGGGGAAGGUUUAAGGUUUUUGGCGUUAGGGUUAAAAUCACUGUCCAAAACCUUUGUAGGAACUCUUUUCCAACCAUUUGGUUUUAGUUAGACCAAAUAAAAAUGAAAAAUGAAAAAAAAAAUAUUUGGGGUGUUUGGGCUUCCUGAAGGUAAUACCCGGUUAUUAAGAUUUGGGGCUGGGGUAAGGUUUAAGGUUAUGGCGUAAGGGUUUAAAUCACUGUCCAAAACGUUUGUAGGAACUAUUUUCCAAGCUUUUGGAGUUAGUUAGACCAAAUAAAAAUGAAAAAUGAAAAAAAAAUAUUUGGGGUGUUUGGGCUUCCUGAAGGUAAUAUUUGGGGCUGGGGUAAGGUUUAAGGUUUUGGCGAAAGGGUUUAAAUCACUGUCCAAAACGUUUGCAGGAACUGUUUUCCAACCUUUUGGAGUUAGUUAGACCAAAAAGAAAUGAAAAAUGAAAAAAAAAUAUUUGGGGUGUUUGGGCUUCCUGAAGGUAAUACCCGGGUAUUAAGAUUUGGGGCUGGGGUAAGGUUUAAGGUUAUGGCGUAAGGGUUUAAAUCACUGUCCAAAACGUUUGUAGGAACUAUUUUCCAAGCUUUUGGAGUUAGUUAGACCAAAAAGAAAUGAAAAAUGAAAAAAAAAUAUUUGUGGUGUUCGGGCUUCCUGAAGAUAAUACAUGGGUAUUAGGUUUUGGGGCUAGGGAAAGGUUUAAGGUUUUUGGCGUUAGGGUUAAAAUCACUGUCCAAAACCUUUGUAGGAACUCUUUUCCAACCAUUUGGAGUUAGUUAGACCAAAUAAAAAUGAAAAAUGAAAAAAAAAUAUUUGGCUUGUUUUGGCUUCCUGAAGAUAAUGCACGGGUAUUAGGUUUUGGGGCUAGGGUAAGGUUUAAGGUUUUUGGCGUUAGGGUUUAAAUCACUGUCCAAAACCUUUGUAGGAACUAUUUUCCAAGCUUUGGGAGUUAGUUAGACCAAAAAGAAAUGAAAAAUGAAAAAAAAAUAUUUGGGGUUUUCGGGAUUCCUGAAGGUAAUACCCGGGUAUUAGGUUUUGGGGCUAGGGGAAGGUUUAAGGUUUUUGGCGUUAGGGUUAAAAUGACUGUCCAAAACCUAUUUAGGAACAUGUUUCAGACCUUUUGGAGUUGGUUACACCAAAUAAAAAUAAAAAAUAAAAAAAAUAUAUUUGGGGUGUUCGGGCUUCCUGAAGGUAAUACCCGGGUAUAAGUUUUGGGGCUAUGGUAAGGUUUAAGGUUUUGGCGUUAGGGUUUAAAUCACUGUCCAAAACCUUUGUAGGAACUCUUUUCCAACCUUUUGGAGUUAGUUACACCAAAUAAAAAUGAAAAAUGAAAAAAAAUAUAUUUGGGGUGUUUGGGCUUCCUGAAGGUAAUACCCGGGUAUUAAGAGUUGGGGCUAGGGUAAGGUUUAAGGUUUUGGCGUUAGGGUUUAAAUCACUGUCCAAAACCUUUGUAGGAACUGUUUUCCAACCUUUGGGAGUUAGUUAGACCAAAUAAAAAUGAAAAAUGAAAAAAAAAUAUUUGUGGUGUUCGGGCUUCCUGAAGGUAAUACCCGGGUAUUAAGAUUUGGGGCUAGGGUAAGGUUAAAGGUUUUGGCGUUAGGGUUUAAAUCACUGUCCAAAACAUUUGUAGGAACUCUUUUCCAACCUUUUGGAGUUAGUUAGACCAAAAAAUAAUGAAAAAUGAAAAAAAAAUAUUUGGGGUUUUCGGGAUUCCUGAAGGUAAUACCCGGGUAUUAGGUUUUGGGGCUAGGGGAAGGUUUAAGGUUUUUGGCGUUAGGGUUAAAAUGACUGUCCAAAACCUAUUUAGGAACAUGUUUCAGACCUUUUGGAGUUGGUUACACCAAAUAAAAAUAAAAAAUAAAAAAAAAAUAUUUGGGGUGUUUGGGCUUCCUGAAGGUAAUACCCAGGUAUUAGGUUUAGGGGCUAGGGGAAGGUUUAAGGUUUUUGGCGUUAGGGUUAAAAUCACUGUCCAAAACCUUUGUAGUAACUCUUUUCCAACCUUUUGGAGUUAGUUAGACUAAAAAAAAGAAAGAUGAAAAAAAAAUAUUUGGGGUUUUCGGGCUUCCUGAAGGUAAUACUUUAAUAAUAUUAGGUUUUGGGGCUAGGGUAAGGUUUAAGGUUUUUGGCGUUAGGGUUAAAAUGACUGUCCAAAACCUAUUUAGGAACAUGUUUCAGACCUUUUGGAGUUGGUUACACCAAAUAAAAAUAAAAAAUAAAAAAAAAAUAUUUGGGGUGUUCGGGCUUCCUGAAGGUAAUACCCGGGUAUAAGUUUUGGGGCUAUGGUAAGGUUUAAGGUUUUGGCGUUAGGGUUUAAAUCACUGUCCAAAACCUUUGUAGGAACUCUUUUCCAACCUUUUGGAGUUAGUUACACCAAAUAAAAAUGAAAAAUGAAAAAAAAAUAUUUGGGGUGUUCGGGAUUCCUGAAGGUAAUACCCGGGUAUUAGGUUUUGGGGCUAGGGGAAGGUUUAAGGUUUUUGGCGUUAGGGUUAAAAUGACUGUCCAAAACCUAUUUAGGAACAUGUUUCAGACCUUUUGGAGUUGGUUACACCAAAUAAAAAUAAAAAAUAAAAAAAAUAUAUUUGGGGUUUUCGGGCUUCCUGAAGGUAAUACCCGGGUAUUAAGUUUUGGGGCUAUGGUAAGGUUUAAGGUUUUGGCGUUAGGGUUUAAAUCACUGUCCAAAACCUUUGUAGGAACUCUUUUCCAACCUUUUGGAGUUAGUUACACCAAAUAAAAAUGAAAAAUGAAAAAAAAUAUAUUUGGGGUGUUUGGGCUUCCUGAAGGUAAUACCCGGGUAUUAAAAGUUGGGGCUAGGGUAAGGUUUAAGGUUUUGGCGUUAGGGUUUAAAUCACUGUCCAAAACCUUUGUAGGAACUGUUUUCCAACCUUUGGGAGUUAGUUAGACCAAAUAAAAAUGAAAAAUGAAAAAAAAAUAUUUGGGGUGUUCGGGCUUCCUGAAGGUAAUACCCGGGUAUUAAGAUUUGGGGCUAGGGUAAGGUUUAAGGUUUUGGCGUUAGGGUUUAAAUCACUGUCCAAAACCUUUGUGGGAACUGUUUUCCAACCUUUGGGAGUUAGUUAGACCAAAAAAUAAUGAAAAAUGAAAAAAAAAUAUUUGGGGUUUUCGGGAUUCCUGAAGGUAAUACCCGGGUAUUAGGUUUUGGGGCUAGGGGAAGGUUUAAGGUUUUUGGCGUUAGGGUUAAAAUGACUGUCCAAAACCUAUUUAGGAACAUGUUUCAGACCUUUUGGAGUUGGUUACACCAAAUAAAAAUAAAAAAUAAAAAAAAAAUAUUUGGGGUGUUUGGGCUUCCUGAAGGUAAUACCCAGGUAUUAGGUUUAGGGGCUAGGGGAAGGUUUAAGGUUUUUGGCGUUAGGGUUAAAAUCACUGUCCAAAACCUUUGUAGUAACUCUUUUCCAACCUUUUGGAGUUAGUUAGACUAAAAAAAAGAAAGAUGAAAAAAAAAUAUUUGGGGUUUUCGGGCUUCCUGAAGGUAAUACUUUAAUAAUAUUAGGUUUUGGGGCUAGGGUAAGGUUUAAGGUUUUUGGCGUUAGGGUUAAAAUGACUGUCCAAAACCUAUUUAGGAACAUGUUUCAGACCUUUUGGAGUUGGUUACACCAAAUAAAAAUAAAAAAUAAAAAAAAAAUAUUUGGGGUGUUCGGGCUUCCUGAAGGUAAUACCCGGGUAUAAGUUUUGGGGCUAUGGUAAGGUUUAAGGUUUUUGGCGUUAGGGUUAAAAUCACUGUCCAAAACCUUUGUAGGAACUCUUUUCCAACCUUUUGGAGUUAGUUAGACCAAAUAAAAAUGAAAAAUGAAAAAAAAAAUAUUUGGGGUGUUUUGGCUUCCUGAAGGUAAUACCCGGGUAUUAAGAGUUGGGGCUAGGGUAAGGUUUAAGGUUUUGGCGUUAGGGUUUAAAUCACUGUCCAAAACCUUUGUAGGAACUGUUUUCCAACCUUUUGGAGUUAGUUAGACCAAAUAAAAAUUAAAAAUGAAAAAAUAUAUAUUUGGGGUGUUUGGGCUUCCUGAAGGUAAUACCCGGGUAUUAAGAGUUGGGGGUAGGUUAAGGUUUAAGGUUUUGGCGUUAGGGUUUAAAUCACUGUCCAAAACCUUUGUAGGAACUGUUUUCCAACCUUUUGGAGUUAGUUAGACCAAAUAAAAAUGAAAAAUGAAAAAAAAAUAUUUGGGGUGUUUUGGUUUCCUGAAGGUAAUACCCGGGUAUUAAGAUUUGGGGCUAGGGUAAGGUUUAAGGUUUUGGCGUUAGGGUUUAAAUCACUGUCCAAAACGUUUGUAGGAACUCUUUUCCAACCUUUUGGAGUUAGUUAGACCAAAAAGAAAUGAAAAAUGAAAAAAAAAUAUUUGUGGUGUUCGGGCUUCCUGAAGAUAAUACAUGGGUAUUAGGUUUUGGGGCUAGGGAAAGGUUUAAGGUUUUUGGCGUUAGGGUUAAAAUCACUGUCCAAAACCUUUUAGGAACUCUUUUCCAACCAUUUGGAGUUAGUUAGACCAAAUAAAAAUGAAAAAUGAAAAAAAAAUAUUUGGCUUGUUUUGGCUUCCUGAAGAUAAUGCACGGGUAUUAGGUUUUGGGGCUAGGGUAAGGUUUAAGGUUUUUGGCGUUAGGGUUAAAAUCACUGUCCAAAACCUUUGUAGGAACUAUUUUCCAAGCUUUGGGAGUUAGUUAGACCAAAAAGAAAUGAAAAAUGAAAAAAAAAUAUUUGGGGUUUUCGGGAUUCCUGAAGGUAAUACCCGGGUAUUAGGUUUUGGGGCUAGGGGAAGGUUUAAGGUUUUUGGCGUUAGGGUUAAAAUCACUGUCCAAAACCUAUUUAGGAACAUGUUUCAGACCUUUUGGAGUUGGUUACACCAAAUAAAAAUAAAAAAUAAAAAAAAUAUAUUUGGGGUGUUCGGGCUUCCUGAAGGUAAUACCCGGGUAUAAGUUUUGGGGCUAUGGUAAGGUUUAAGGUUUUUGGCGUUAGGGUUAAAAUCACUGUCCAAAACCUUUGUAGGAACUCUUUUCCAACCUUUUGGAGUUAGUUAGACCAAAUAAAAAUGAAAAAUGAAAAAAAAUAUAUUUGGGGUGUUUGGGCUUCCUGAAGGUAAUACCCGGGUAUUAAGAGUUGGGGCUAGGGUAAAGUUUAAGGUUUUGGCGUUAGGGUUUAAAUCACUGUCCAAAACCUUUGUAGGAACUGUUUUCCAACCUUUGGGAGUUAGUUAGACCAAAUAAAAAUGAAAAAUGAAAAAAAAAUAUUUGGGGUGUUUGGGCUUCCUGAAGGUAAUACCCGGGUAUUAAGAUUUGGGGCUAGGGUAAGGUUAAAGGUUUUGGCGUUAGGGUUUAAAUCACUGUCCAAAACAUUUGUAGGAACUCUUUUCCAACCUUUUGGAGUUAGUUAGACCAAAAAAUAAUGAAAAAUGAAAAAAAAAUAUUUGGGGUUUUCGGGAUUCCUGAAGGUAAUACCCGGGUAUUAGGUUUUGGGCUAGGGGAAGGUUUAAGGUUUUUGGCGUUAGGGUUAAAAUGACUGUCCAAAACCUAUUUAGGAACAUGUUUCAGACCUUUUGGAGUUGGUUACACCAAAUAAAAAUAAAAAAUAAAAAAAAAAUAUUUGGGGUGUUCGGGCUUCCUGAAGGUAAUACCCGGGUAUUAAGUUUUGGGGCUAUGGUAAGGUUUAAGGUUUUUGGCGUUAGGGUUAAAAUCACUGUCCAAAACCUUUGUAGGAACUCUUUUCCAACCUUUUGGAGUUAGUUAGACCAAAUAAAAAUGAAAAAUGAAAAAAAAAAUAUUUGGGGUGUUUGGGCUUCCUGAAGGUAAUACCCGGGUAUUAAGAGUUGGGGCUAGGGUAAGGUUUAAGGUUUUGGCGUUAGGGUUUAAAUCACUGUCCAAAACCUUUGUAGGAACUGUUUUCCAACCUUUUGGAGUUAGUUAGACCAAAUAAAAAUUAAAAAUGAAAAAAUAUAUAUUUGGGGUGUUUGGGCUUCCUGAAGGUAAUACCCGGGUAUUAAGAGUUGGGGCUAGGGUAAGGUUUAAGGUUUUGGCGUUAGGGUUUAAAUCACUGUCCAAAACCUUUGUAGGAACUGUUUUCCAA
rnacentral:lncRNA from 1 species